ACUCCUGCGGGAGGCAGCAGUGGGGAAUAUUGCACAAUGGGCGCAAGCCUGAUGCAGCCAUGCCGCGUGUAUGAAGAAGGCCUUCGGGUUGUAAAGUACUUUCAGCGGGGAGGAAGGCGAUAAGGUUAAUAACCUUGUCGAUUGACGUUACCCGCAGAAGAAGCACCGGCUAACUCCGUGCCAGCAGCCGCGGUAAUACGGAGGGUGCAAGCGUUAAUCGGAAUUACUGGGCGUAAAGCGCACGCAGGCGGUCUGUCAAGUCGGAUGUGAAAUCCCCGGGCUCAACCUGGGAACUGCAUUCGAAACUGGCAGGCUAGAGUCUUGUAGAGGGGGGUAGAAUUCCAGGUGUAGCGGUGAAAUGCGUAGAGAUCUGGAGGAAUACCGGUGGCGAAGGCGGCCCCCUGGACAAAGACUGACGCUCAGGUGCGAAAGCGUGGGGAGCAAACAGGAUUAGAUACCCGUGUAGUCCCA
rnacentral:rRNA from 1 species